CACGGUUACAAUCUACACGAUUGGCUAAUUUUAAAAUUGGAAAGGGAAAAGAAGGACUAUAGUUAAAAUGGCUAUGAUUGGAUAUAGGUUGGGAAGCUCAAAAUGGUUAUGAUUGGAUCUUACAUCCAAAUUAAGGCCAAAUACUAUAUUCUGAAAAUGGACCAUUGGACUUUCUAUUUCUCACAACACAUUUUAUGAUUCAUUAGAAUGAUUCAUAGAACUCAGGAAAGCACUUUACUUCUAUUUUAUUAAUUCAUUGUAAAGAACAUGAAAGAGUGCAACUCAGUGAUAACCUGAGUUUUUGUUGUUGUUGUUCUUUUGUUUUCUGGAGAUUGAACCCAGGACUUCGGGCAAAGCAUGAGCUCUACCACUGAGCUACACCUCCACCCAGGAACAGCCAGUUAAACAAAAAAUAUGAAAGACUAGCUAUCAUUUUGGACUGAGCUUUUUGUUCUAGGCCCCAAUAGACUAGACCAAAAUGGGGUCACUUAUGUAAUGUGCCACAUAAUCAUACUGAAAUGUAUGUUUGUUUUUCAAGUGCUGAGGAUCAAACCCAAAAUCUCAUGAAUGCUAGCUAACUCUCUACCACUGAGCUAUGUAUACUUCAGCCCCAAACUGAAACUAUAAGGAAGCAGACAAAUCCUAAAGUAGACCAUUCUUUUCUUGAAAACAGGGGGUUUCAGUGCACCUGAGUGGGCAUAUUAAAGAAGUCCACCCAAGGACUGGGGGUAUAACAGUGGUAGAGCACUUGCCUGGCAUAUCUGAGGCCCUGGGUUGAUUGCUCACACUGCUAAAAGAAAUUUCACAAAAUGCUUUUAACUCUUACAAUAGUAAACUGAUAUUUAUCAGUCAUCUUUUAUCUUUUGUUGUGUUUCUUUGUUCCCAUUUUACAAAUCCCACCAUUCUGCCAUUGCCCAGUGAGAGCUCUCAUUCUAUUUUAUAGGAUAGAAAGCUAAUUAGAUCUAUAACUAAGUUAAUUAUAAUUUUGUCUUUUGACAAGCCAAAUGGAAGACAUGCAUAAGGGGAGAGGGCAUAGAGCUUCCAUGCCCUCUCUAAGCACACUUUCUUCCCAGAACAUAAGUGUGUCUGCCACUCCACAAACCCCACUGUUAGAGUUGUUUUGGAAGGUGUCAUUACAAUGGCAUGGUUGAUUCAUUGAUUGGCUAUGGCAAAUUGAACCUAGUUCUAGCCCCUUCUCUUCCUGGAGUUUGGAACUGAAAUUCUAGCCCUCUGGAACCCAUGCUUAUUUUGUUUUUCUGGUCACUAGCCUGCAAUCUGAAGCUCAGUGUGCCCCCUCUUUUCCCCUUUAUUCAUUAGCAAAGGAAAAACAGUAAAUGUCAAAGGCUGUAGGAGCCGGAAGCUGGGAACUAAUGUUAGGUAGGAGUUCAGGAAAACCAAGAUGUCAGAGGCAGGGUAUAAGAAAAAUGCCACUGGAAGACAAGACAGGGAGAUGAGUCAUCGUGUCCCUGUUUACCAUGACUACUCCUGCCCAUAAUACUCCUGCCACAGGAUCGGAAUUCUAAAAUAACCAAUGGGGGUACAGUAGGCAGUAUUCUAAUUAGGUUUUCUAAAGUAACCAAUGGGGGAAAAUUGGACACCCUUCUAGUCAGGUAUUAUAAGGUAACCAGUGGGCUCAACUGGAGUAAGUUCUUCAAUCUGGUCCAUAUAGGGAAGAGAUUGCCUCACAGUCCAGCAUAUAAAAACAGACCUCGGGACCUUGACCCUCUCUUGCUUGGCUCACUUUGCUCUACAUUAUGGAGUGCCACUUCCACCUUCAUCUUCAAUAAAUCUGUACUUUGCCUGUUACUUCUGUGUGUCUUGCUCAAUUCUUUGUUCGGGACACCAAGGACAUGGACCCCAACUGGACACCCCAGUGAUUAAACUAAGGCCAGAUACUUUUUCAUUAUAUACACCAGUAGUGGUGGCUUUACUAGCCCCAUUUUCUCUGCAUGCAUGUGUUGCCAGAGCCUGACUCUCUAACCUGGCUGCAUUUCCACCAUCUUUAGCUUCCACCUGGCAGAUUAUCAGUCUGGACACCCCCAUUUUCCUGGCACCUGCUACCAUUCUUGGUUAGAACUUUUUAUCAACUGGAGGAAACUACCUCUGCCCAAUAGACUCAUGAAAAGGAAUUUGUAUAUCUCUGAAAGUCACCAAGGGGAUCAGAGAGCAAGGUUCUGAGGCCAUACAACAUUAUCUCCAGCCCAAAUCACAGUUCUGGAUUAGCCUGGUGAGCAUGUCACUGCUGUCACCACCAGGGGCAUGCAGGGACCUUUGUAACUAAGCCUUCACUAUAGGCCCAGAAUUGUGUGCUGUUGCCAUGACUGCUGUGGUUCCCCCCUGUAGCAAGGGCUCCUUUAAUUGGGGAUUUAAAGGAGGACCCAGUCAUUGUCCUGACUGACUCCAUUUUCCUCCUCUAACCUCUUCUUAGUCUCUAAGUCAUUUCUCCUCAGUGUAUCUCAGGUUCCAAGAACAAUAAGUUUUGCAGGCAGAUCACUUCAUGAUGGGAACUCAAUUGCUGCCUCAAGCAAUAAUGAUUUCAUGGGUGCCAUCAGGACCUUGCAAAACUGGACCUGCUUGA
rnacentral:lncRNA from 1 species